CACACACGCACUCUCUCUCUCACACACUCACACUCUCACACACAAACACUCACAUGCGCACACUCUCACACACACAUGCACACUCUCACACACACACUCUACACACACACACACACACUCUCACACACACACACUCACACACACACUCACACACACACACACUCUCUCACACACACACUCACUCACGGACACUCACUCACACACACACUCUCUCACACACACACACACACUCUCUCUCACACACGCACACGCUUCUCUCAUGCACACUCUCUCUGACACACACACUCUCUCACGCACACGCACACACUCUCUUGUACAGCUGUCGCCUCCUCGCAAGCGUUAUCUGGAGUCUCGCGCAGCAGCAGUCAGCAUGUUGCAUCCCAUCAUGAUUUUCAUCAUCGUCGCCAACACGUCCAUCAGCAUCAUCUUCUGGACCUUCUUGGUGUCGGAGGUGUUGUUGAAAGAUGCAGAAACUGAUGAAUCCCCCAAAUCUUCCGUUACUCCCGCGUGAAGAACGGCAUGCGUGCGACGCUCGACAGAUCGCGCGGCUUGUAGAGCUUCUGUCGAGAUUAUCUCCUAGUUUUUAUUUCCUUCAUUACAUUUAAUUUAGUCUUCAAUAAGAAGCAGCUUCUGUGAAUUAGAGAUUCAUCGACAGAUUGGCUGUUCGGCCCUAAAACUGAUUCCACUGAUGCUGAGUGCGGCCGUGAGGAGGAGGAGGAAGAGCGAUCCGGACUGCUGCCGGGAUUCAACACCAGCCAUCAUCACGAGCACAGAACAUCUGAUGUGUCCAGCGUCCAGCAUCAUUACAUCACAUCACUCUGAAUGUUCACAGGCACUCUGUUGCUGCCGUAGAAAACAUGGAGGACAGCGUUUGAUAUGUUCAGAAUAGCACAUCACAUUAUUUCUGUUGGGUGUAUACUCACCCUAUCCCAUACAGAAUCUGAUAUAUGGCCACAUAUGAACAUACUGUAUAUAUACAUGUACAUAUAUGUGAUCAAACACACACAGUCAAAAUUGUGAAAAUAUAUGUUUUGUAGUAUUUUUAAAUAUAUGAUCCAUAUAUGUACUAUAUAUAUGUGUGAGUUAUCAGUGAACACCAGAUAUGAACAUAUAUUGCCUUAUGUCAGAUAUCUGUAUGGAAUCCCACAAUGCAAAGCACUCAACCUGACCUUCUGUUUACAGUGUGAUGAAUAAACAGGAAGUACUUGUCAUUACUUGAUCAGACUGACACAUUUUAAAAGAGUUCAAAAUGUAAAAUAACCAUUUUUAUUUCCAAUAUGAGAAGGCAUACUACUAUACUACUCUUAUAGCAUACUACUAUACUACUCUCAUAGUAUACUACUAUACUAUUCUUAUAGUAUACUACAAUACUACACAUAUAGUAUACUACUAUACUACUCUCAUACUACUAUACUACUCAUAGAGUAUACUACUAUACUACUCGUAUAGUACUAUACUACUCUUAUAGCAUACUACUAUACUACUCGUAUAGCAUACUACUACUCUUAUAGUAUACUACUAUACUACUCAUAGAGUAUACUACUAUACUACUCGUAUAGUACUAUACUACUCUUAUAGCAUACUACUAUACUACUUGUAUAGCAUACUACUAUACUACUCUUAUAGUAUACUACUAUACUACUCAUAUAGUAUACUACAAUACUACUCUUAUAGUAUACCACUAUACUACUCGUAUAGUAUACUACUAUACUACUCUCAUAGUAUACUACUAUACUACUCUCAUAGUAUACUACUAUACUACUCAUAUAGUAUACAACUAUACUACUCUCAUAGUAUACUACUAUACUACUCAUAUAGUAUACUACUAUACUACUCUCAUAGUAUACUACUAUACUACUCAUAGUAUACUACUAUACUAUUCUUAUAGUAUACUACAAUACUACACAUAUAGUAUACUACCAUACUACUCUCAUACUACUAUACUACUCUCAUAGUAUACUACUAUACUACUCAUAUAGUAUACUACUAUACUACUCUCAUAUUAUACUACUAUACUACUCUCAUAGUAUACUACUAUACUACUCUCAUAGUAUACUGCUAUACUACUAUAGUAUACUACUAUACUACUCAUAGUGUACUACUAUAGUAUACUACUAUACUACUCAUAGUAUACUACUAUACUACUCAUAUAGUAUACUGCUAUACUACUCUCAUAGUAUACUACUAUACUACUCAUAUAGUAUACUACUAUACUACUCUUAUAGUAUACUACUAUACUACUCUUAUAGUAUACUACUAUACUACUCAUAUAGUAUACUACUAUAGUAUACUACUAUACUACUCAUAGUAUACUACUAUACUACUCAUAUAGUAUACUACUAUACUACUCAUAUAGUAUACUACUAUACUACUCUUAUAGUAUACUACUAUACUACUCAUAUAGUAUACUACUAUACUACUCUUCCUCUUUAGUGUGGUAGUAUGCUGUCCUGAACACAAGCGUGCAACGGCAUACUACGGUUAUAAAUGUUUACUGUGGAAUAAUGCUCAGGUUUUAAUAAACAGGAAACACAAUAUUCUGCACAGUUCUCUGUAAGCAGUAUAUUAGUAUUUCAUUCUGAACAUACUCUUAAUAUAUGAAAAGGGGGCGUGGUGAGUAAUCUGUUCAUUGUGAUGUCAUCAUUGUGAUUCUUCUGAUUUCUGAUGUCAUUAAAAAAAAUGUGAAAAAUAAUUGUGGGAUGUUCCACGUUCUGCACUGUGUAAGACUGAAGGCAUAAAUGAUGUAGAAUGAUAAUUAAAGGCUCUUGUAAACAGAACAAA